AUUUGGACCCAAAGCUUUUGUUCGGGCUCCUUAAUGCCAGGUAGGCUAAUGAGAACUUGUGGUUGCGAAAGCCCUCGUAGACUCUCAAAGAUCCAUUUACUUGUUGGCAAGGUGGCCUAAAGCAACUUGGCUUGAGAAGGUGGCCCAAGUUCUCAUGCGGACUUACAAAAAAGGUGGAUAUUGGGGAGCAUGGGUUGCAAUCAGUCCUCCCUUCUAGGUGUUGAUGCUGUUAUGAAAACUAAGAGAUACUGUGAGGAGAUGAUAAGAAAAUACAAAUCUCUGCUUCAGAGUAUGAUGAUAUUCUUUAUGAAUUUGCUAAUGGCAAAGAUUGUGAGGAGCAAGAGCUUUUGGGACACCUUGGGCAUGUUCAAAUUUUGGGGAGGCGGGUCGCAACUUGCCCUCUCGGUCCCCAUAAAUUUUUUAUCGUGGAACUGUCAAAGAUUGGGCAAUCCCCAAGCAGUCAAGGGUCUGAAAGCCUUAAUAAGGGUUGAAGAUCUAGACGUUCUAUUUUUAUUUAUUUAUUUUAUGGAAACUAGAAUAGAUAAUUUGAAAAUGUAUUAAGUAUAGUUAUAUCGUUAAGUUGUUAUUUAGUUUGUUAAUCGCGUAUAACUAAUUCCUCCUGUGACUAAUUGUUUUAUUAUAAAACUUAAUGGCUAUUUAAGGUCUGGUUCUUUUUUUUUUCUUUUUCUGUACACACGAAUUCAUCUCAAUAAAACAAAACAUUUUCUCUUUGCCUUUGGCUCAUGUUCACUAAUAUGGUAUCAAAGAAAUACUAAACCUAAAGUUCACGGUCAAGCUUUUCAAACUAAGAAGUUCAAAGUGCAGCUUCCAUGGCCCGUUCGCGUACAUGAUGCACAGCUUCGCCCAACAUAGAUCCACCCACUACAACUCCGACCGAUGAUGGUCCACUGCCGCGGCCACAAUCCAUCGAAAAUGUUGACCAAGCACAGCAACGACCACUAGGUCCUUCCCCAGGAUCAGUUGCGACCGCUGUUCACACACAACCCUGAUUUUCCAGCCAUGGUGAACCAUCUACAUCUGCUCGGAUUCCAUCUCUGGUUUCUCUCGAUCAACCUGCCCAAGAUGACAACAAUCCCUAUUCCUUAGGCACUGGAGAUCACCUAGGGCUUGUUCAUGCAUCUCCUCCACUCACCGGCAAAAAUUUCCAACAAUGGAGGCGUCACUUUAAGAUUUCGAUUGGGGAAAAGAACAAAUGGGCUUUUCUUGAUGGUUUCUUCCUGAACUAGAUCCACAAAAUCCCCCCUUCCAUUCUUGGCAUCGUUGUAAUCAUAUGGUCAUGUCUUGAAUCCUCCAUUCAAUUUCCCUAGAGAAUAAAACAAGCAUCAUGUUCCUCGACACUGCUACUGCCAUGUGGUCAGAAUUAAACAAUCGCUUUGAUCAAGGAAAUGGUCCAAGAAUCUUUGAACUCAGGGAAGCUCUCAUAGCUCUACAUCAAGGAGAUGACUUUGUCUCUUGCUAUUUUUCCAUGCUAAAAUCCAUCUAGGUUUAAAUACAAGAACUCAGGCCUCGCACUCCCUGUACAUGUGCUGCAUCAAUGAGCAAUCUUGAUUUUCAAAAUCAAGAGCAUGUUCUUCAAUUUCUUACUGGUCUCAAUGAAUUUUUUUAUCCUGUUCCUGCUCAAGUCUUGCUAAUUGAUCCAUUUCCAUCCCUCUCAAAUGUCUUUUCCAUGAUUAUACAAGAAGAACGUCAAAGGAAACUUGGCUUUUCUCAUCAUUCCAGAUUUGUGGCUGCCACUACUUUUGCUCACAAUCCUAACUCUCAGACAAGGAAGAUGCGUCCCACUUGCUCUCAUCGUAAAAAACAAGGGCAUCUCAAAGACAAAUGUUAUUUCUUACAUGGAUUUCCCCUGGUUAUGGAAGCCAUAAGACCACCAAUGACAACACCACCAACACUUGGCAAAAACUUGCAGAAUCAUCCUCUGCUGUCAACCCAUUUCAAGCCUCAAACUCUUCAAGUUUCAACCACUUCCAAUGAUACUAAAAGUCUCUCAACCCAUUUCCAAAAACUCAUAGCACGUUUGAGUCAACAACUACAAAAAGAGGCUGCCCCAUCUACUUUCGAACAACCUCCGACCACAAACUUUCUGGUACACUCUUACCAUUCUCUACAAAGUAUUGGAUUAUAGAUACUGGUGCUACUCACCAUGUUUGUUGUGAAAUUAGUUGUUUUUCUUCAUUUCAACUUAAUAUCCCUACCAAGCAUGUCACUCUACCUAAUGGUACCAUUGUCCAAAUUGAAAAAGGAACUUCUCCGAUUUUGAAGAUUGGGAUAACUAGAAAGCUAGGCAAUCUAUACUACCUCCAACAAGAGGCUUUUUUUUUUUUUUUUCAUAAUACUGUUGCUACACCCAUUUCUUGUAAUACUCAUUGUAAUAAAACCCUAUGGCAUACUCGCCUUUGACAUCCUUCUUUACUCAUUACAAAUAAAGUUAAUAAAAAGCUUGAUUUAGCUAUUGAUAAUUCCACUUCUUUUCAUUGUCCUAUUUGUCACCUUGCUAAACAACGCAAGCUUCCUUUUAACUCUAAUAAUAAAUUUGCUACUACUGUAUUUGAUCUACUUCAUAUGGAUAUUUAGGGUCCUUUCCACAUAUUAAGCAUUGAAGGCUAUAAAUAUUAUUUAACUAUAGUUGAUGAUAAGUCUAGAUACACUUGAGUUUAUUUGCUUAAAGCUAAAUCAGAUGCUUAUUCCAUCAUUCAAUUUUAUUUUUCUUUCAUCAAUACUCAAUAUAACACUAACAUUAAAUAUGUUAGGAUUGAUGAUGCAAAAGUACUCAAUCUUGCUUCAUUUUUUUGCUAGCAAAAGUGUUACUCAUUUUCACUCAUGUGUUGAUAGACCACAACAAAAUUCAUUAUUUGAAAGAAAACAUCAACAUAUUCUCAAUAUAGCACGUGCAUUAGCUUUUCAAUCACAUUUGCUUUUAUCUCAUUGGACUUAUCUAAUUCGCAUUUCUUUUUAUCUACUUAAUAGGACUCCUUUGGUUUUGUUACAAGAUAAAACUUCUUUUGAAGUUCUUAACAAUAAACAACCCUUAUACACUCAUCUUCACAAUUUUGGUUUCCUAGCAUAUGCUUCAACUUUAGAUAAUAAACAACACAAAUUUUCCCCUCGUUCUGGAGCAUGUGUUUUUAUAGGCUAUCCUGAAACAAUAAAAGAUUAUUUUCUUGUUAGACAUACAAACAAAUCAAAUUUUUUACUCAAGAGAUAAAUUUUUUUAUGAAAACAUUUAUCUAUUUCAUAAUAGUGUUACUCACGAGACCAUUGACUCUUUUUCAAUACUUUUAUGUUGCCUACUAACAAAAUUGUUUCUCUUAUAGCACAAAGAAAUUUGGUUCGGCUGCCUAUUCCUCUUGACCAAACUCAGUCUGGCAGGAUUGUUCAUAAACCCAAUCAUUUACAGGAUUAUUUGUGUGAUUUUACUCGAGUUGCUACUUUUACAACUCAUCCACUAACUAAUUACUUGUCUUAUGAUAGAAUUUCUCCUCAUUUUCGAGCUGCUAUCCUACCUACACAUAACAUCACAGAGCCUAAAUCAUUUUCUUAAGCUUGCAAGCAUCUAGAAUGGCAGCAAGCUAUGCUUGCCGAGUUGAUUGCUUUGGAGGAAAACAAAACAUGGACCAUCACGUCCCUCCCUCCCCAACAACACGCAAUUGGUAGUAAGUGGAUUUACAAAAUAAAGUAUAAAGAUAAUGGUGACAUAAAACACUACAAAGCUCGACUUGUGCAAAAGGCUAUACCCAAGAAGAAGUAUGCAGGUUGCAAAAGAGUUUAUAUGGCUUGAAAUAGGCUUCAAGAUAGUGGUAUGCAAAAUUGAUCACCACUCUCAUCCAACAAGGAUUCAAACAAUCUCCAUCCAAUCAUUCUCUAUUUAUUCGACAAGACUUUGGUGUUUUCUUAGCCCUUAUUGUUUAAGUCGAUGAUAUAAUUAUAGCUACAAAUAAUAUUAUUACUGUAACGUCCUGUGUUUUGGGUACCUUGAAACGACUCGGGUCAGGAUUGUUUUCCCCGAGUUAAGAAUAUUAUAUUUGUUUGGAAUUUAUUUCCAUGAGUUAUUGCUAGCCAAAUUAUGAA